GUUUAUGUGAAAAAAAACGCGAACAAAUUCACAAUGAUAUUGAAUUUAUUUCGUUUCUCAUGUAUUUUUCCAAAAUUAUGAUUAUAUUAUUUUUUCAGAAAAGAAUGGUCGGCCUUUACUACGAAUAUCUGGGACCGACCAUUCUGUCGGGGUUCGAAACUUACAAAUAUAGUUGUAAAGAUACUAGUCCACUCAGUCAGUAUGUAAUGCAUCCAUUCUGGAAUCAGGUUGUGAAGCUAUGUCCUGCCUGGGUAGCUCCGAACCUAUUGACCCUGGUCGGGUUUAUCUGCUGUGUCGGUCACUUUCUUCUACUCACAAUAUACGAUUACGAUUUCACCGCCGGCACAGCACCUCCAGAUAUAAGUGGACUUAAAGAUGUACCAGGAGGAACAGAAAUUCCAGGAUAUAUAUGGAUAUCAGUAGCUAUACUUCUAUUUCUUUCUCACACCUUGGACGGAAUAGACGGAAAACAGGCUCGUAGAACAGGAUCCUCAACACCUCUAGGCGAACUCUUCGAUCACGGGUUGGACUCCUGGGCAACAAUAUUUAUCACUGGAAGCCUGUACUCUGUAUUUGGACGGGAUCUAGACCUAUACAGUAUUACACCCUUCAGAAUGUUCUGCAUAAUGUGGAAUGUUUAUUUUUGUUUUCUCAUUUCUCAUUGGGAGAAAUAUAAUACUGGAGUUCUCUACCUACCCUGGGGAUAUGAUCUCUCUAUGCUGAUCAGCUUCUUGUUGUAUAUUGCCUCCGCAAUUGGAGGUCAAAUGAUGUGGAAGAUAAAAUUUCCUGGAGAUAUAUAUCCUGGUCCUAUCCUACAGUUUAUGGUUUAUUUUGGGAACCUUGGGAUGACUCUACCAACAGCUCUUUACAAUAUAUGGAAAUCAUACAAGGAGGGAACAGGAAAAAACCGACCCUUCUUAGAAGCUAUGCGUCCUCUGGUGUCCACUAGUCUUGCAAUGGGAUUCUGCUUCUUCUGGGUUCUCCGCUCUCCAAACUCUAUUGUGGAGAAGGACACAAGAUGUGUUUUCUACCUCACAGGGACAAUUUUUGCAAACAUCUGCUGUAAGCUGAUUAUUGCUCAGAUGUCUAGUACUCGCAGUGAGCUUCUGAGUGGCAUCCUGGUACCCGUUGGAGUUGGUUGUCUGGUAGGAGGGUUAGCAAACCUCUCGGAGAAUCAAGAACUUGCACUUCUUUACUCUUUAACAGUUGUGGUAACUUUGAUACAUCUACACUACGGAGUGUGCGUGGUGAGAGAGAUGUGCGGUCACUUCCGGAUCCACGCGUUCAGUAUAACCUCGAAACCUGCCGCUACCAAGAUCACGGAUAUUCAAAGGUUACUGGAGAGUGAUGAAGACAUUGUCUAGUUUUCUUUUUGUAGAUUUAGUUAAAUCCUGUAAUCUUGGUUUCUGUUUUCUUUCAAGCAUGUGUAUUUAAUUCCGAAAACGAACUCCUACAUUGAAACAGUAAAACUGAAUAUUUUAUUUUUAUUAUCACCAGUGCAGUUCUACAAUUUUAAGAUCUUGAAAAAAUUCACUUUUCUAAUUUGCAUUUGAACCAAGUUGUCAGAUUAUAAAUCAAAUUUGUAUUUACGAAUCUUUAAAAGUUUCUGCGUAUCAUUUUGUCAAAUUAAAUUGUUUAAUGUAUAAAAUGUUUUAAAUCCGGGAAACUAAAAAUAAGUGGAUUUUCAUGCAAAAUCUAAAUUAUUGGGAAUCCAUCUUUGAACAGCCAAAUUUACUCUAAAAAAGUUAACAUGUGACCCCCUGGGUUUUCUUUUUAUUCCAAAUAUAACGAUGUAGAAAUUAUUUGACUAAAAACAUUGUUAAACAUAUUAUUGAGAGAUAUCAAGGAUUGAUAAAGGUUUGUAAUCAACACUGGAAUCAUUUCCUUGAAUUAAUCUAUAUUAAGAACGCUUACAUGCUUCAUUAAAUUCUCACAAAGGACAAGCUUUCUACAAACUCAAUAUUUUUUAUCAAUUGAGAUAAUUGCAUGCAUGUAUCUUUAUGUACCUAUGUCCAGUUUUUUGCUUUUAAAACAAUCACAGUACAAAAACAUUCAAGUGCCUAAGCGCAAUAUGAUUCUAACUAAAAUAAUUUAUUGUAGAAAUGGGCAUUGUUCGUUUAUAAACAUAAUUUUUUUGCUUAACAUAAAGGGUGCCCCGGACAAUAAACGGCUUUUGAGACACGACUUGGAGGUCGUCAUACACGAUUCUUUAAAAUUAUUUCAAAAAUCUCCUGGUACUGGCAUUUACAAAAUUUGGUCCUUUGUUUUGAUUUUAGUAUUUUUGGAAAUUUCGUUCAGAUUUCAACAUAAUUAUUAAAACCAAAAUUGAUAAAUUCUAAACGAAUUCUUCAUAUCUCCGGUCAAUUUAAAGCUCAAAAAUGGUAGACCACAAUUGGAAAUGUUUGGACUAAUGGUAUUUUUAUUACGUUUUAAGAAAUUAAUUUGCUUCUAAAAUUAUGUUUAAGACUGAAUGCCGCAAAUUAUUUUAAUCGUCAAAUACAACCUUCAUGUCGCUUUGGAACUGUAUGUUUUGUAGGACACUCAGUAGUCUGUAUAUCCCAAAAAAUCUAAGUUAUUAAUCACACACAAUUCAAAUAGUAUUCUCUAUAAAUUUUUACUCAGAAGAUAUUACCCACAAACAUUUAUUUAAAAGAUGCCCAUCUUUACAGAGAAUAUUAACCACAUUUAUUUAAAAGAUGCCCAUCUCUACAGAAAAUAUUAGCCACAUUUAUUUAAAAGAUGUCCAUCUCUACAGAAGAUAUUACCCACAAACAUUUAUUUAAAAGAUGCCCAUCUCUACAGAAGAUAUUAGCCACUUUUAUGUAAAAGAUGCCCAUCUCUACA